AGCCGUGGGGGAGGGGAAAGGGCGCGCGGCCUCGGAUGCGCAGACCCUGGGCCGGCGACUCGGGGACCCUGCUCCCUCUUAGCUAAAAAUGACGUCGGCGUUCAGCUCCUCCAACCUCACGUGGACAGGCGAGGGAACCGAGACCCAGAGAGGGCAGGGGACUUUGGCAAACUCACACAGCCCACCGCAGGCAACUGGAACUGAAACCCAGGACUCCGUCUCUUGCCAGUGAAAGUUAUGUUAGGAAGCAGUGAGGGGUCUAAAGCAGUAUGAAAGGCAAAGAGAAAAGGUGAUUGUUCCCUCUUGAAUGGCCCUUGGAAGCUGAGUAUCUGGAUUCACCCUCCCUAGGGAAUUUCCCGAUUGUCUUGCAGGCUUACACACUCAUCAAGAUGACAAAAAUAAUGACAGUAACACUUAUGUGGAACUUGACUUUUUCCCAGGUGCUGCUCUAAGCAUUUACUGUGUUUGUUUUACAGGAAGGAAGACUGUACACAGAGAAUAAAUAACUUGGCCAAGCCAUUCAGCUAGGAAGUUGUAGAUCCUAAAUUAAGAGUUCAAGGUCUUAAUGGCUACUCUAUGCGGCCUCUCAUAGUCUUUUCAAGGGUUUUGGAGAAGAAUAAAAGAUCAGGUAUGGCUUCUCCCUCCCCCAGCUCUCUAUUGUUCCCUAAAGGAUUAUUCAUUCGUUCAUUCAUUCCUACAUCCUCCCAUUUAUUCCAGUCAUCCACAGAUGUUUGAGUGGUUACAAUGUGCCAGCCUCCCUUCUAGGUACUGGAGAUAAAGUGGGACAAGAGAGGUGAGGUCUGGACCCUUGGCACUUUCACGAUAAAAUACACAGGCAUUGCUUUUGAACUCAGUCAUCUUUUCCCCCUUGCCCACUAGUUGCUUGUGAUACAUCAGUAUCCUCACUCACCCCCAACUCCAGAGGCUGAAACUAACUCUCCUCCUCCCUCUUCCAACUGCUGAGGAAGAUGAGUCAAUGGUGUUACUGGACCCUGUGAACUGAUGCUGUGAAGAGAGGCCAUUUAACACGGACUACGGGGAAUGGUGCCACAGGGGGCUCAGUGCUGCCCUUCACUCUCAGCAUUUUGCUCACUCAGCAUUGAUGACAGGAUGUCCCAAAAGUAACAAAAGAUGGGAGCCAGUCCUCUCAUAGCUGUUUCUUCAAUCAUCCCAUCAACAGCUCUUCAUUUAUUGAACUACCUUCCUUUUCCAAAGAGGUAAUGCUGAGAUCAGUCAGAAAGGCUUUCUGAGAAAACUGGCUUGGAUUUCUGGGUCUGUUGCAGUCAAUUCAAGAUGAACUGGCUUGUAUCAAUGAAGCGCUCAAUGCAGUUCACAAAACAGGCCUCAGCCCGACUGUCCAACUUUGGCCCAGGCUUGUCCAUGCACUUCUCCCAACAAAGUUCAGUCAUCUGGUGCACCAGCUGCUGGAAGCGCUGCUUUUGAGUCUCUACCUCAAUGAAAAUGCUGCAACUGCGGGUCCACUGCACCCAAACCCGCCGCAGAGGAAGAGCAGGAGGAAUCCAUCCCAGGACAACCAUGCUUGCAGAGACGAACUCCGCACCAACCUUCACGUGUCUCCACGACCUAGUUAAUCAAUUUAAAAUGAGGUCACUAGGGUGGGCCCCAAUCCAAUAUGACUGAUAACUUUAUAAAAAGGAGAGAUUUGGAUACAGAAAGAGACAGAGUGAAAACCAUGUGAAGAAACAUAGGAAAAGAUGGCAGCUACAAGCCAAGGAGAAGCUUGCAGUGUGUAUUCAUCUGUUCUCAUGCUGUUAAUAAAGACAUACCUGAGACUGGGUAAUUUAUAAAGGAAA
rnacentral:lncRNA from 1 species